UCUCUUUCUUACCCCUCCAAAUACAUCUCUUUCUCUCUUUCUCACCCCCCCUCCAAAUACCUCUCUUUCUCUUUUUCUCACCCCUCCAAAUACCUCUCUUUCUCACCCCUCUUCUCAUGUUUAUCCACACACAUCUCUCUCUUUCUCACCCAUCUUCUCGUGUUUAUAUAAAUACCUCUCUUUCUCACCCAUCCAAAUACCUCUCUUUAUCUUCUCGUGUUUAUCCAAACAUCCCUUUGUCACCAGUGUCACUUCCCUUUCUCUUCUCGUGUUUAUCCAAACACCUCGCUUUCUCACACCUCUUUUAUCGAAACAUCUCACUUUUUCACUAGUGUUUAUCCAAUCUCACCCCUCUUUUAUCCAAACACCUCUCUUUCCACUCUUUUUUCCAAACACCUAUCUUUCUCACCGCUCUUCUCGUGUUUAUCCAAACACCUCUCUCUCGCUUUUUCACCCAUCUUCUCGUGUUUAUCCAAAUAAACCUCUUUCUCACUCGUGUUUAUCCAAAUACCUCUCGUUCUCUUCUCCCUUCUCGUGUUUAUCCAAAUACCUCUCUUUCUCAACCCUCUACUCGUGUUUAUCAAAAUACCUCUCUUUCCCACCUCUCUUUUCGUGUUUAUCCAAAGACCUAUUAUUCUCAC
rnacentral:lncRNA from 1 species